rnacentral:lncRNA from 1 species
CAAAGACCUGCGAAGCCAGUCUAGGAAGAAUCAUUCAACUAAAGACCACUUUCCCCAAAGUCCCAGCCAUCUUGAGAGAGACAGAGGACCAACUUUUUCGCUGUUCAGAAUUCUGUUUCAAGUGCUAUCAGAAAUACCAGCAAAUUAAAGUACAUCCCAACCACCACUGGUUUCAACCAAAAUAUAGUCAGAGAUAAGCCUGCUGCCAAACCCACAGCCUGGGGCUUCCUACUGAGACUCUCGUA